UACAGAGACUGCAAGCGUUAUUCGGAUUCACUGGGUUUAAAGGGUGCGUAGGCGGCCCUAUAAGUCAGUGCUGAAAUAUCCCGGCUUAACCGGGAGGGUGGCAUUGAUACUGUAGGGCUUGAGUGUAGUCGAGGUAGGCGGAAUUGACGGUGUAGCGGUGAAAUGCUUAGAUAUCUGGAGGAAUACCGGUGGCGAAGGCGGCAUCCUGGACCGACAUUGACGCUGAUGAGCGAAAGCUAGGGGAGCAAACGGGG
rnacentral:rRNA from 1 species